rnacentral:sRNA from 1 species
GGGAAUGCACUGGGGCUGACGACAAGGCUGGAACGUCCCGGGAUUGAAGCUUGGAUCCGAACUGUUGGACAGCGUCUGGAGUUUUGCACAAAAGAGAAUUGAAUUGUAGAUCAGCUGGGAAGUUACUGUGGUAGUCCUGGUGCCCUGCGGCCUCCAGCGACUGGAACCCUGUGGGAGCACAUAGCUGGCAUUUUUUGCUAGAGAUUAGGAAGUCUUUUGCUUCCUCUGUGAAAAGGCUUGAAUUCAAUGGACUGUGUGGACUUCAACUAACCAACUAAAGAACUGUUCCCCAGAGCAUUGUUCCUGAGAAGGAAAAGAGUCCAAACACCCACCCACACCUGCUUUGUGCCAAGAAUCCACAGUUGGAUUGCAAGGACAGUGCGUUCAAGACCCAGCUGUUGAGAGUAGAAAAGCAGAAGAAAGGACCCGAGGUCAGCAAGUGCCCUCCCUACAAUGGGGCAGGUCUGCCAGGGAGAAUCGGCUACAGCAGCUGAAAAACCAAAACUUCAUCUACUUACUGAAAGUGAGAUUGACAAGUAUCUCUAUGCCAUGCGGCUCUCCGAUGAAACUCUCAUAGAUAUCAUGACUCGCU